rnacentral:rRNA from 1 species
CCUACGGGAGGCAGCAGUAGGGAAUAUUGGGCAAUGGAGGGAACUCUGACCCAGCCAUGCCGCGUGCAGGAUGAAGGCGUUAUGCGUUGUAAACUGCUUUUAUAUAGGAAGAAAUAGUCCUUGCGAGGAAAGUUGACGGUACUAUAUGAAUAAGCACCGGCUAACUCCGUGCCAGCAGCCGCGGUAAUACGGAGGGUGCAAGCGUUGUCCGGAUUUAUUGGGUUUAAAGGGUGCGUAGGCGGUUUAUUAAGUCAGUGGUGAAAGACGGUCGCUCAACGAUUGCAGUGCCAUUGAUACUGGUAGACUUGAGUGGGAUUGAGGUAGCUGGAAUGGAUAGUGUAGCGGUGAAAUGCAUAGAUAUUAUCCAGAACACCAAUUGCGUAGGCAAGUUACUAAGUCUCAACUGACGCUGAGGCACGAAAGUGUGGGUAUCAAACAGGAUUAGAUACCCUGGUAGUCCACACUGUAAACGAUGAUAACUAACUGUUGGCUUUCGGGUCAGUGGUACAGAGAAAUCGUUAAGUUAUCCACCUGGGGAGUCGCGCAACGGUGAAACUCAAAGGAUUGACGGCUGAGAGNGCGAGACGACGACGAGGAGGAGG